AUGCAAGUGUAAGUUCAUGCCACGCUUUAGAACGGGCGAAACCGCGAAUGGCUCAGGAACCGGACCUAAUCCUCGGGACCGUAAUCCUGGCGAUGGAUGACUGUGGCAAUUCUAGAGCUAAUACAUGUGACACGGGCCGCGAUUGGUCGUCGCGCCGUGGUCGCCUCGCCUCGCGCGCUGGCGGCCGUCUUGGGUCGCGGCGCUACAUAUUAGACUGAGAUCGAUGCGCAAUUCCCGCUCUCCCUUCGUGGUCUCCGGUUUCGGCCGGUCUGUGCGUCGGGGCCAAAGGGUGGCGCGUUCCGCUUUGGUGACUCUGGAUAACUCACUGGUCGAUCGCACGGUUACCACGCCCGGCGACGGGUCCCUCGAGGGUCCGCCCUAUCAACUGUCGACGGUCGGUUAAGUGCCUACCGUGGUUACUACGGGUAACGGGGAAUCGGGGUUCGAUUCCCGAGAAGGAGCAUGCGAAACGGCUACCACAUCCAAGGAAGGCAGCAGGCGCGCAAAUUACCCACUCCCGGCACGGAGAGGUAGUGACAAAUUACCCACUCCCGGCACGGAGAGGUAGUGACAAAAAAUAACGACGCCGGACUCUGUC
rnacentral:rRNA from 1 species